UUUGGCAGUGGCUCAAAGACAGGGACAGGAGUAGGAGAAGGUGGAGGUGGAGAUUGGAUUGGUGGCCGAGGAGAGAAAACCGGUGGUGGGGGAGAGUGGAUUGGUGGUGGCGGCGGUGGUGAAUGAACAGGUGGUGGUGGAUAAUAGAUUGGUGGCGGUGGGGAGUAGAUGGGAGGCGGUGGAGAUUGACUCCUUAUGAUAAUGGGUGAUUCUCUAUGGGGAUCGUCUGGUGGAGAGUGGACUGGUGGUGGUGAGUGAAUAGGUGGUGGAGGAGAGAGUACAGGUGGUGGUGGUGGUGGUGGUGGUGGUGGUAGAGAAUAGAUUGGUGGUGGAGGAGAGAGUACAGGUGGUGGUGGUGGAGAGUAGAUUGGUGGCGGUGGGGAGUAGAUGGGAGGCGGUGGAGAUUGACGCCUUACAAUAAUGGGUGAUUCUCUAUGGGGAUCAUCUAGUGGUGGCGGCGGUGGUGAAUGAACAG
rnacentral:lncRNA from 1 species